GACGAACGCUGGCGGCGUGCUUAACACAUGCAAGUCGAACGGAAAGGCCCUGCUUUUGUGGGGUGCUCGAGUGGCGAACGGGUGAGUAACACGUGAGUAACCUGCCCUUGACUUUGGGAUAACUUCAGGAAACUGGGGCUAAUACCGGAUAGGAGCUCCUGCUGCAUGGUGGGGGUUGGAAAGUUUCGGCGGUUGGGGAUGGACUCGCGGCUUAUCAGCUUGUUGGUGGGGUAGUGGCUUACCAAGGCUUUGACGGGUAGCCGGCCUGAGAGGGUGACCGGCCACAUUGGGACUGGGAUACGGCCCAGACUCCUACGGGAGGCAGCAGGGGGGAAUAUUGCACAAUGGGCGGAAGCCUGAUGCAGCAACGCCGCGUGCGGGAUGACGGCCUUCGGGUUGUAAACCGCUUUCGCCUGUGACGAAGCGGGGGUGACGGUAAUGGGUAAAGAAGCACCGGCUAACUACGUG
rnacentral:rRNA from 1 species